AGCGAACGCUGGCGGCAGGCCUAACACAUGCAAGUCGAACGAACUCUUCGGAGUUAGUGGCGGACGGGUGAGUAACACGUGGGAACGUGCCUUUUGGUUCGGAAUAACUCAGGGAAACUUGUGCUAAUACCGAAUGUGCCCUUCGGGGGAAAGAUUUAUCGCCAUUAGAGCGGCCCGCGUCUGAUUAGCUAGUUGGUGAGGUAACGGCUCACCAAGGCGACGAUCAGUAGCUGGUCUGAGAGGAUGACCAGCCACACUGGGACUGAGACACGGCCCAGACUCCGACGGGGGGCAGGAGGGGGGAAUCUUGGGCAAUGGGGGAAAGCCUGACGCAGCCCUGCCGGGGGAAAGAUGAAGGUCUUAGGAUUGUAAAAUUCUUUCCCCGGGGGCGAAAAAGGCGGUACCCGGAGAAAAAGCCCCGGGUAACCUCG
rnacentral:rRNA from 1 species